rnacentral:tRNA from 1 species
GGUCGGCGUGGACCACGAGGUCGCCGGCCUCGAGGGCCUGCACCUCCAGGAUCACGUCCUGGGGCCGCUUG